rnacentral:rRNA from 1 species
GACGAACGCUGGCGGCGUGCUUAACACAUGCAAGUCGAACGAUGAACCGGUUUCGGCCGGGGAUUAGUGGCGAACGGGUGAGUAACACGUGGGCAAUCUGCCCUGCACUCUGGGAUAAGCCCGGGAAACUGGGUCUAAUACCGGAUACGACACUCCGAGGCAUCUUGGGGUGUGGAAAGUUCCGGCGGUGCAGGAUGAGCCCGCGGCCUAUCAGCUUGUUGGUGGGGUAAUGGCCUACCAAGGCGACGACGGGUAGCCGGCCUGAGAGGGUGACCGGCCACACUGGGACUGAGACACGGCCCAGACUCCUACGGGAGGCAGCAGUGGGGGAUAUUGCACAAUGGGCGAAAGCCUGAUGCAGCGACGCCGCGUGAGGGAUGACGGCCUUCGGGUUGUAAACCUCUUUCAGCAGGGAAGAAGCGAAAGUGACGGUACCUGCAGAAGAGGCACCGGCUAACUACGUG